rnacentral:lncRNA from 1 species
GGGCGCACGGCGGCGAGCGCUAUCUGGAGCUGACCGCGCGGCUCUUAAUCCCUGGCCUUGGGAAAGUGAAUUGGCCUGAAUAGCAAGGAGGAGAACUUGGGUGUGGAAAUACCGGUUCCUCACAAGGCCAUCUGGACUAAAGAAGAGGGUUCCUAGUUUCCCUUCAAGCUAAAUGAAUUUGUGUACUGGACAACAGGAUGUCAGAAGACAUAAUCUCUGCCACUUGUAUGUAAUA